rnacentral:tRNA from 1 species
GCCCAGAUGGCGGAAUUGGUAGACGCACUAGUUUCAGGUACUAGCGAUGAGAGUCGUGGAGGUUCGAGUCCUCUUCUGGGCACCA